rnacentral:misc_RNA from 1 species
CCAAAGCAGAACAAGCAAGCAGUAUCCCAUUCCCACUGGCACACACAGUUAAUAAGCUGAAGCUCUCAAAAAUGAAAUGCCAACACUUCAUUUUCGACUACGCAGACAUCUGUUAGAAUACAAAUGGCAGUUAAAGAAUUCCCCUCUAUGGGUAGACUAUACGUUUUCAUUUCACACUCUUUUAACAUAUUGUUCAGGAAACAUCUUAGCACCUACAGCUUGAUAACGCCAUAAUUAUGGACAUUAUAUGAUGAGAAAAAGGACCUGAAGUAUUAAAGGGUUGCAGGAAUCUUUCAAUCACCCUUUUGUGGCAGGGUUUCAAAUGCAGAAACAGUGUUCUCGAACUUAAUCCGAUGCAGAGGGGCGCCACUUUGCUUGAUAGCACAAGCUAUCUUGUCUUCCAAGGGGCAGCGCGCUUUUAGCAUGGAGAAAACAUGAUUGUUCAACCUCCUUGCUUUCUUCAUGGCUUCCAAUAAAGUUUCCCAUCCCUGAGUAAGAUGAGGAUUCCUGUGCAUUUUUGAGAGUGAUCCAGCCUCCACCUCAGCAACAUUGAGGAUUUGAUAUGAAAAGUCGAAGAGCUCAAAAUGUAGCUGCUGACCAAGCAAGUAUAUUAUAGUGCAACCACCCCAUGCAACCGAAUCACCCAGCACUUCAUGAUAGUUGAAUGAUUGUUUAUCAGACUGCUCCAGGUAUCCUAUUUGAAGGCCACUAUAUAUACGGUAGAAAUCUUUUGAAGUUGUUAUGUCAAUGAACCCUGUCUUGGGAGCAGCACUCCACUUAGUACAAUAUUUAUCAAGUGCUGCACUGGUAAAAGCAAGAGCAUAUUCCAGCACACUUCCAGUAUUCAUGUUAGCCUUGUACAAAAGAUCUGCAGCUUCUGCCUGCUUUGACAUGGUGAAGAAAGAUGAGGGAUUUGGACAACCAGGAUUAGAUACAAUUGCAGCAAUAGAUGAUUUGAAAAGAUUGACAAGAGGACUAUCCCUGCCAUCUUGAGAAUGAAGUAUCUGCCCAUCCACACCAGGAAGCAAGCCCAACCAAGGGGCUGUUUGCAUGAAAUGCGUGGUAUCAACUUCCCUCAAUACACUGUCAAGAAGCCCCAUCCAAUAUAAUACACUUCCAAUCUCCUUUAUCCCUCUAAGAACCUCUGCUUUGAGCUCUGAUUUUGUCCCCCAAUUAAGAUUUUCUUUAGUAAGCCUCAUACAACCUGCAACACCACCAUCGAAAGGAAGCAAUCCAAUAGAUUUUGGCAAUGCUUCUUGUAAUCCCGUAAUCAUGGGUUCAAGUGUAGUUAGCUUAUUUGAUAUAUGAUCUAGGAGGGCUCGGAUAAGCCAAGGCAAUGAUCUGGAUCCCAAAAGUCUAACAACAGAAAACAUGUGGGGAAUUCCAAAGAACCCACUAUGCAAGCGAGCAAAACUCUGAUGUGCAGAAUUCAACUCCUGAGUACCACAAUAGAAGUUAGGCUUGGCAUGGGGAACUGAUGGUUUUUGAACAGGAACAAGUGGAACUCUUGAUGAUCGGACAAAACGUUGAGUAGUAUUGCAAAGAACAAAGUUUGGCAGGAAAUCAUUUUGCAUCUCUGACCAAAUCUGAGAAGCAAGUCGACUAGAAAAUGACACAAGUGAGAUGUUUUCUUGCAUCUCAUUCAACAUGAGACCAAAUGAGUCUAUUGAAAUAUCUUUAGAAAGCAGUUCAUGGGUAUGCUUUAGGAUAUCCAGUAAUUUGUCUAAUUCCAUUACUGCACAUAGAUCCUGUGACUCGAAACGAUCAAAUAGAAACUCAAGAUUGUCUCUGAAAACUUUGUUCAUCCGCUCAGCAAUCAAGCUUCUUAAAUCAAUGGUCCUCCCCAGCAACUUUACUCUAGUCAUCUUAAAUAGAGCAGUGAACCUCAUAGGUUGGACAGAAUAUUUUUCUCCGUUGUCCAAGGCAAAAAGGAAUGAUGGAUCAAGUAAUGCACUCGCUGCCCAGCUCUUGUAAUAUGUGAAAAUAGUAUCAGAGAGUUUUGAAACAAAUAGAUCAAAACAGUGGUCCACCUCAGCCUCAAUUUCAUCGUAGAGGAACCGCUGCCUUAGCAUCACCAGAGCUUGCUGAGCUGAAUCGUUGUAGAUGUCAAAUGGCAUCAGAACACUUUCAAUAAGGCCUGCAUUCUGGGACUCAAGCACAUGAUCCACCAACAUCCAGGGAAGAGAGCAUUUGAUGGGAAACUGAAUAACACGAGAAGACUCCAAAUAAAAUUCCCUAAACCAUAAGAAACCAAGAUCCGUCAAAGUUGCAAUAGUUGCUGAAUAGUCCAAUAUAUGCAGGAAGAAACUAAGCUUGUAAAAGAAGGUCUCCAACUGCUUUAAAUCAUUUACAGGAAUCUCAGACCCACUAUUGCCAAAAAGCCCUCCAGGCUUCCGAAGAUUACCACCAGAUACCACUUCAUAUAUCAGGAAUUGCAAGCAAUGGAC